UGCUCCUGAACUCAACAACACUGACAUUGCUGUCAAGGAGUUUGAGGAAGCAAUUCGAGUCAUCCUUGGAAAUCUUGAUGAUUUACAUCCAUUUUCUACAGACCACUUCACUAUCUUUCCAUAUUUGAGUAAAUGGGAACGAGUAUCAAAAAUGAGAUUCAAACAUGAGAAUGUCAAUCUCGUGCCUUAUCCCUACAUUUGCACUAUGUAUCUAGAGCUCAACUCAUUUCAGCAAAGUUUGUCCUUGGGUAAAGAAGUCAACAGCAACAAUUCUGAGCCUGUCAAGAGAAAAAGUGAAAUACCAGAAAGUACUGAAAUGGAAGAAACAGGAAAGAGGAGAAGAGUUGAAGGUCAAACAGAGACCUCAUAUCCAAAGUUAUGUAUGGACAGACCUGGAACUGAGAGUGUUCACCAUGCAACUAAAGUAGAGCAUGGAUUUGAAAAGAAUUACUCCAAAGAAAUUCAGUGUGAGCAUAGUCCAGCAUCCCUCAGCGUGGGCUGUGACCAAGAGUGUUUAUGGAGACCUGUGGGAUAUAACGUGGAACAAAGAGCAGAAACCAGUCAGCCUGAAGGUGAAAUGCAGGUAUUGCAGCAAAUGGACCAAAUCACAACCAAAGGAAUUGAGGAGCCCAAACGAGGAGGUCUCUCAAAGUUCUGGAGAAGGUACCUACAUUGCAGCUGUGAGCAGUUCCUACUUAAAGCUACCUCAUAGUGCAGCAUUUGUUUCCCAC
rnacentral:lncRNA from 1 species